UACGACAACAUGACCUUUGAUCCUUGUCAUUAUGGUGGCAGGUAAGCUAUUAGAAUUGGCAGUACAGUCUCUAUUUGCACCUAUCGUCAUCUUGACCUGAGUCCUUGGUUCCCACAGGUGGAACCAGGUUAAUGAUCAUGGCACCAGUCAUGUAUUUAUUUUCGAUAAUGAGCAGAUGCUGUUUCUAUGACCAAUACAGUGAACUCAUACUUUGGUGCACAA
rnacentral:misc_RNA from 1 species